rnacentral:rRNA from 1 species
UCAGGCCUAACACAUGCAAGUCGAACGGUAACAGGUCUUCGGAUGCUGACGAGUGGCGAACGGGUGAGUAAUGCAUCGGAACGUGCCCAGUUGUGGGGGAUAACUGCUCGAAAGAGCAGCUAAUACCGCAUACGACCUGAGGGUGAAAGCGGGGGAUCGCAAGACCUCGCGCAAUUGGAGCGGCCGAUGUCAGAUUAGGUAGUUGGUGGGGUAAAGGCCUACCAAGCCGACGAUCUGUAGUUGGUCUGAGAGGACGACCAGCCACACUGGGACUGAGACACGGCCCAGACUCCUACGGGAGGCAGCAGUGGGGAAUUUUGGACAAUGGGCGCAAGCCUGAUCCAGCAAUGCCGCGUGCAGGAAGAAGGCCUUCGGGUUGUAAACUGAUUGUGUCAGGGAAGAAAUCCUCUGGGUUAAUACCCCGGGGGGAUGAC